rnacentral:rRNA from 1 species
UACAGAGGGGGCAAGCGUUGUUCGGAAUUACUGGGCGUAAAGGGCGCGUAGGCGGCCGCCUAAGUCAGACGUGAAAUCCCUCAGCUUAACUGGGGAACUGCGUCUGAUACUGGAUGGCUUGGAUUUGGGAGAGGAAUGCGGAAUUCCAGGUGUAGCGGUGAAAUGCGUAGAUAUCUGGAGGAACACCGGUGGCGAAGGCGGCAUUCUGGACCAAUAUUGACGCUGAGGAGCGAAAGCCAGGGGAGCAAACGGG